rnacentral:rRNA from 1 species
GAUGAACGCUAGCGGCAGGCCUAACACAUGCAAGUCGAGGGGUAGAAGCUUUCGGGCUUUGAGACCGGCGCACGGGUGCGUAACGCGUAUGCAAUCUGCCUUGUACUGAGGGAUAGCCCAGAGAAAUUUGGAUUAACACCUCAUAGUAUUUUUGCCUGGCAUCAGGUGAUUAUUAAAGGUUACGGUACAAGAUGAGCAUGCGUCCCAUUAGCUAGUUGGUAUGGUAACGGCAUACCAAGGCUACGAUGGGUAGGGGUCCUGAGAGGGAGAUCCCCCAAACUGGUACUGAGACACGGACCAGACUCCUACGGGAGGCAGCAGUGAGGAAGAUUGGUCAAUGGGCGCAAGCCUGAACCAGCCAUGCCGCGUGCAGGAUGAAGCAUCUAUGGUGUGUAAACUGCUUUUGUACGGGAAGAAACACUGCUACGUGUAGCAGCUUGACGGUACCGUAAGGAUAAGGAUCGGCUAACUCCGUGCCAGCCGCCGCCGUAAAAC